rnacentral:rRNA from 1 species
GACGUAGGGGGCCAGCGUUGUUCGGAAUUACUGGGUGUAAAGGGUUCGUAGGCGGUGCGGCAAGUUUGGUGUGAAAUCUCUGGGCUUAACCCAGAGGCUGCUUCCAAAACUGCUGUGCUUGAGUGUGGGAGAGGCGCGUGGAAUUGCAGGUGUAGCGGUGAAAUGCGUAGAUAUCUGCAGGAACACCCGUGGCGAAAGCGGCGCGCUGGACCACUACUGACGCUGAGGAACGAAAGCUAGGGGAGCAAACAGG